AUUGAACGCUGGCGGCAUGCCUUACACAUGCAAGUCGAACGGCAGCACGGGUGCUUGCACCUGUUGGCGAGUGGCGAACGGGUGAGUAAUACAUCGGAACAUGUCCUGUAGUGGUGGAUAGCCCGGCGAAAGCCGGAUUAAUACCGCAUACGAUCUACGGAUGAAAGCGGGGGGCCUUCGGGCCUCGCGCUAUAGGGUUGGCCGAUGGCUGAUUAGCUAGUUGGUGGGGUAAAGGCCUACCAAGGCGACGAUCAGUAGCUGGUCUGAGAGGACGACCAGCCACACUGGGACUGAGACACGGCCCAGACUCCUACGGGAGGCAGCAGUGGGGAAUUUUGGACAAUGGGCGAAAGCCUGAUCCAGCAAUGCCGCGUGUGUGAAGAAGGCCUUCGGGUUGUAAAGCACUUUUGUCCGGAAAGAAAUCCUUGGCUCUAAUACAGUCGGGGGAUGACGGUACCGGAAGAAUAAGCACCGGCUAACUACGUG
rnacentral:rRNA from 1 species